GGGCCCACACAAGCGGUGGAGUAUGUGGUUUAAUUCGAUGCAACGCGAAGAACCUUACCAGGGUUUGACAUCCUGCGAAUUUCUGGGAAACCGGAAAGUGCCUUCGGGAGCGCAGUGACAGGUGGUGCAUGGCUGUCGUCAGCUCGUGUCGUGAGAUGUUGGGUUAAGUCCCGCAACGAGCGCAACCCACGUCUUUAGUUGCCAGCAUUUAGUUGGGCACUCUAGAGAGACUGCCGGUGAUAAACCGGAGAAGGUGUGGAUGACGUCAAGUCAUCAUGGCCCUUACGAGUAGGGCUACACACGUGCUACAUGGCGCAUACAGAGGGCAGCCAACUUGCGAGAGUGAGCGAAUCCCAAAAGUGCGUCGU
rnacentral:rRNA from 1 species